UUGAUUUUUCCUGUGAAAAAUUGUUUUAAGCCUUUUAUCUCUACUAAGGUGAAUUUUAGUACAUUGCAUUUUUCAAGGAUGCUAUCCAAUUAUUUAAUUUUUCAAAUAUAUUUGUAUAGAGUCAAACAAAAUAGUCUGUAAGAAUCUUUUAAAAUUUACUUUGUUUCAAGGUUAUUUCCCCCAUAACAUUUUUAAAUUCAUAUAUCUGUGCUUUCUCCUUUUUUUUCUGAGUUAGAUUAGGUGGUAGUUUAUCUAGUUUAUUAAUUUUUCCUCAAGAACAAGCAUUUUGAUUGAUUUAUCAAUUUUGUUAUAUUUUUGCUUGCUGUUUUAUUAAUUUCUACUUCUAUAUUUUAAAAAAUUUUUCUUCUGCUUCCCCCAUCCCCUACCUACUUUUCUGAGUUGGGAAUUUAAUUCAUUUAUUUUUAUUUAUCUAAGUAUCAUAAGUAUGUAGAGCUAUGUAUUUUCCUAUAGUCACUGUUUUAAUUGUAUCUCAUAAAUGUCUUAGGAAGAGUUCAUGAAUAUUUUCUGAGUUUCCAUCUGUAUCAAACUGUUUCCCUAUAGGCUUGGUACUUUAAAAACAGUCUGCCUACAUAUAACACUCUGGGCUCAUAUUUUCCUUUUUUGAGUUUCUUAAAACUGUUCUUGCACAGUUUUCUUGCUUUGUAUGCUGUUUUAUGAUCUUAUUUCCUUUGUAAGUGAUUUGGCCUUUUUUGCUUGGAUGCCCAGAAGAUUGCUUGUAUAUAUUUAAUGUCUAAUAGGCCUAUUAUACUGUGUCUUAGAUGUAUGUCUAUAUAUUACAAUUGACCAUUCUGGGUUAGUCUUCUUAGGUACACAAAUAUAUCCAAGUUUUCUUUUAUUUAUACAAAGUUUUAUUGGAUUGUGGUUUAAUAUGUGAUUAAAUAUGUGAUUUCUCUCAUUUCAUUGUUUUUGUUUUUCUUGCCAGAAACCCAAAUGAUAAUGCCCAGUCUUCUUUCUCUCUGAUGGUUUUCACCUUAUUUAUUUUGUUUUCAUUUUCUUGGAAUUUUUCAUAUAUUUUUAAACUUCUGCUUUGAGAGAAAUCAAUUUUCUCUUGAGUACUUUGAAAUUAUUCUUCCUACAUAAGAUGUUUUUGCCUUUUUCUUUAAUUUCCCUCCUGGGGACUAUCUUUUUUUCGUAUAUUACUUUAUUUAAUUCUGCUUUUCUGAUUUAACAUUUUUUCUUUUUGCAAAAUAUUUGUUUAAAAUAUUUAAUUCAAGAUGGGGUGUUAUGUUACAGAUUGUUUUCAGAGCCUCCAGUUAAAUUGGGGUUCCAGCACCUGUGUGGAUAGCUAAGGGGAAAUGAAGGGGAGCUGGAUAUGGUUGUUUACAAGGUGUCUUUCACGGGACACAUCUUUUACCUGGCAGACAGCCUAGUGUCUAGUUGUCUAACCUGUGACCAGGAAGAUUUCUCACACAGGAAACUUGUUUAUACUGGCAGAUGCCCUUUUGGCUCUUGUCUGACCUGUGUUCAGUUUAUGCCUGCCUGACCAUUGCUCUGGUUCUGGGAGCUCAACUUUGUGCUUCCCCGUCCCAUGUCAGGGAAAGAUAGGCCUGGCGUAGCCCCUGAUUCUUCAGAUGGAAGGUGGGAAUUCAAUACUCCAGCACAAAAGGAAACAAUUAAAAGAUUGUACUUACAAAUCUUGGGCAAGGAAGGUGGGAUGGCAGUCCUCUGUCCUAGGGUCAUGUGAGGCAGAAAUGAAGGAGUCAGGCAGAGAGACAGGGCAUGUGGCAAAUAGUUGUAUGUAUAAGGGAAUACAGUGUGGGUUAUUUUAAGUUCUUAGGCAAAUAUCUGACAGAUUCACUUAAAAGGAAACAGCGGAAGAGUGGGUAGUCCUAUUGAGAGACAGGACUAGCUGGAUUUCCUAAGUCGACUAAGAAUUCCUAAGCCCAGCUGGGGAAGGUUACCACACCCACCUUUAAACGCGGGGCUUGUAACUCAGCUCACACCGGACCCAUCAGGUAGUAAAUAGUGCUCACUAAAAUACCAAUUAGGGUAAAAGCAGGAGGUAAAGAAAUAGUCAAAUCAUCUACUGCCUGAGAGCACCGGGGAGAGACAAUGAUCGGAAAAUAAAUCCAGGCCUUUGUGCCAGCAGGGGCAACCCCCUCUGGGUCCCCUCCCAUUGUAUGUGAGCUCUGUUUUCAUUCUAUUAAAUCUUGCAACUGCACAUUCUUCUGGUCCGUGUUUCUGCCGGCUCAAACUGAGCUUUCGCUCUCCAUCCACCAUGGCUGAACGCCACAGUCGCAGACCUGCCGUUGACUUUCAUCCCUCUGGAUUUGGCAGGGUGUCCACUGAGCUUCUGAUUCAGCGAGGUGCUCAUUGCUGCUCCCAAUCAGGCUAGAGGCUCGCCAUUGUUCCUGCACCGGGAAGUGCCCGGGUUCAUCCUAAUUAGGCUGAACACUAGUCUCUGGGUUCCAUGGUUCUCUUCCGUGACCCACAGCUUCUAAUAGAGCUAUAACACUUACCGCAUGGCCCAAGGUUCCAUUCCUUGGAAUCCCUGAGGCCAAGAACCCCACGUCAGAGAACAAAAGGCUUGCUGCCAUCUUGGGAGCAGCCGGCCCCAUCUUGGGAGUGGCCCACCACCAUCUUGGGAGCUCUAAGAACAAAGACCUGCUGGUAACACUAUCUCUGGCCACCUAUCUCUGGCCUAUCUAUCUCUGGUUCCUAUCUCUGGCCAUGGCUUGAGCCAUUUGGGUGCAGUGAACAGGAAACUGUAAAGAGUGACAGCCCUGCUUCUACAAAAUGGAUGCCAAGUUGUUCCUGCGCGCUCACUCUCUCUCCUGCCACCUUGUGAUGAAGAUGCCUGCUUCCUCUUCUGUCAUGAUUGUUACACCUCCUCCCUCCUUAAAUAGCACUUAGUGUAAUUGAUGCCAAGUUAAUCCCUGUGCUGCCAAGAGAAGUGUCCAUGGGGUAGGAACCGCAUGCUGUUUUACCUGUGCUUAAAGAGGAAAGUGUCACGCGUCUCUGAAGAAACAAUGUUGACUGAAAAAUAGCGCCAAGUCUCAAACAAGAUCUUUGUGAAAAAUAAAGCAUGAAGCACAAAAUGAGAGAAUGACUAAAACUGAGGCUUAGUUAUGCAAGUUGUCUCCAGUCACACAACUGAAGACUUUUUUAAAUAGCCAGAAGUGGUGAAUUUGACAGUAAAGGACAAGAAGAGAAAGUUCUCAGACCUGAACAGGAAAAAAUGGUGCCUGGACACUACAAACAAUCUUCAUGUGCACUGAUCGGACAAUAAGUGAAUGGGUAAAUUUCUUUUCUCUAUCCCAUAUUCUGAAUCUUCAUCAUUAAAUCACUGUAACUUUUGUAAUAUAAUAUUUAGUAAAAUUGUGUAUGCAGACAAGGACCCAACACACCCUAGAAAAGGCCCUGCAUUAGGGAACUGGGCUAUGGAAAGCAUUAUGUAUCUGUUUCUGCACUGUGUGGCUAUAUAAACUCUGACAAGAUUUUGUGACAUUGGCUCAAUACAUAAGGAACUUAAAUCUAAUGGCAGAUGAGUACAUGCUCUUUCUGUCAAUCCACAGACCACCUGAAAUGUUGCAUAAACUAGCGUCUCUUUUUAUUUAAUCAAUUUUAUUUUUUAGUGGUUUUAAGUUCACAGAAAAGUUCAGUGGAAAGUACAAAUAAUUCCCACAUAUUCCCUGCCCCCAUGCCACAACCUCCACAACUAUGAACAUACUUGCACCACAGUGGCACAUUUGUUACCAGUGAUGCACCUUCUCACACAUCAUCACCUAAAGUUUAUAGUUUACAUUAGAGUUCACUCUUGGUGUUGUAACAAACGGAUUUUAACAAAUGGAUCAUGACACGAUCUACUCUUGUAGUAUCACACAGAAUAAUUUAACUGGCCUGAAAAUCUCCUGUGUUCCACCAUCCUCCCUAGCCACCCAACCUAUAGCAAUAAUUUAUCUUUUUCCAGUCUCUAUUGUUUUGCCUUUUCCACAGUAUCAUAUAGUGGAAAUCAUUCAGUAUGUAGCUUUUUCAGAUCUUUCACUCUGUAAUAUGCAUUUAACGUUACCCCAUGUCUUUUCAUGACUUGAUGGUUUAUUCCUUUUUAGCACUAAAUAAUAUUCCAUUGUCUGAAUAUAUUAGUUCAUUUAUUCAUUUGCAUAUUGGUUACUUCCAAGUUUUGGAAAUUAUGAAUUGAGCUGCUAUAAACAUUCAUGUGCAAGUUUUGUAUGAACAUAAGUUUUCACAUCAUAUGGGUAAAUAUUAAGGAGUGUGAUUUGCUAGGUUAUACGGUAAGAGUAUGCUUAAUUGUUGUUUUUAUGUAAAGAUGGAGUCUUGCUCUGUCACCCAGGCUGGAGAGUAGUGGUACAAUCAUGGUUCACUGCAGUCUCAAACGCCUGAGUUCAAGCGAUCCUCCUCCCUCAGCCUCCCAAGUAGCUGGGACUACAGGCACACACCACCAUGCCUGGCUAAUUUUUUCAAUUUAUUUUUUGUAGAGACAGGGUAUUGCUAUAUUUCCCAGGCUCGUCUCAAAUUCCUGGUGUCAAAUGAUCCUCCCACAGUGUUGGGAUUACAGGUGUGAGGUAUAUGCUUAGUUUUUUAAGAAACUGCCAAACUGUCUCCCAAAGCAUCUAUACCAUUUUGUAUUCCCACCAGUAAUGAAUGAGAGUCUCAGCUGCUCCAUGUCCUCAACAGGAUUUGGUAUUUCUUUAAAAAAGUAAUUAACAAAAUAUCUGUAUUUGAAAAGUGUCUUAAAUAAUACUGUACAUAUGUUUGGUGACUAAUAUAUAUGUACUGAAUAAAACUAUAAUACUCUAACUGAUGGAUACACAGCAUAUAUUAUUCUUGUAUCUUUUCCUAGAAAGCCUUGGGCUACUCUAAAUCUGUAAUACGUAUUUCAACUUCUCUACUUACAUGUACUAUAUUAUAGCAAUUUCUAUUGAGUUAUAAUCCAUAUUCACUCUCCUGAUUUGCUAAAGUCACAGAGGCUUUCAUCCCUAGUUUCUAAAGUGCUAAUACUAGUUUUUUCAGGCUUGUUUUUAACUUUUAUUUUAAGUUCAGGGGUACAUAUGCAGGUUUGUUACAUAGGUUAAUUGUGUAUCAUGGGGAUCUAAUGUACAGAUUAUUUCAUCACCCAGGUAAUAGGCAUAGUAUCCAAUAGGUAGGAGUUGAUUUUUUGUAUAACGUGUAAGGAAGAGGUCCAGUUUCGAUUUUCUGUAUAUGGCUAGCCAUUUACCCUAGCAUCAUUUAUUGAAUACAGAGUCCUUUCCUCAUUGCUUGUUUUUUGUUGACUUUGUCAAAGAUCAGAUGAUGUUAGCUGUACAGCUUUAUUUUUGGGCUCUCCAUUCUGUCGUAUUGGUCUAUUAUCUGUUUUUGUACCAGUACUAUGCUGUUUUGGUUACUGUAGCCUUGUAAUAACAGUUUGAAGUUGGGUUAACAUGAUGCCUCUAGCUUUGUUCUUUUUGUUUAUGAUUGCCUUGGCUAUUCAAACUCUUUUUUGGUUCCAUAUGAAUUUUAAAAUAGUUUUUCCUAAUUCUAAUUCCUUCCCAAUUCAAGCAGUUUCCCAGCUUCCCUGUCACAUCCUUGGGUAAUUUCCCACUGCCACUCACCGCAUACUAGACAUAAUUAAAUAUUUUAAUGUGCACUCACUGUUUUUUUUAUGGAGUACAGAGUAUA
rnacentral:lncRNA from 1 species